GUGGGCGUAGCUCAAGGGCAGAGCACUGGACUGUGGCUCCAGGGGCUGGGGGUUCGAAUCCCCUCGUCCACCCCA
rnacentral:tRNA from 1 species